UCCGGUUUGUCACCGGCAGUCUCAUUAGAGUGCCCAACCAAAUGUAGCAACUAAUGACAAGGGUUGCGCUCGUUGCGGGACUUAACCCAACAUCUCACGACACGAGCCGACGACAGCCAUGCAGCACCUGUGUUCCGGUUCCCUUUCAGGCACAGCCUCCUCUCGGAAGCCUUCCAGACAUGUCAAGGGUAGGUAAGGUUUUUCGCGUUGCUUCGGAUUAAACCACAUAAUCCACCGCUUGUGCGGGCCCCCGUCAAUUCCUUUGAGUUUUAAUCUUGCGACCGUACUCCCCAGGCGGGAUACUUAUCGUGUUAACUUAGACACAGCCGGGGUCAAUACCAGCUACAUCGAGUAUCCAUCGUUUACAGCGUGGACUAC
rnacentral:misc_RNA from 1 species